rfam:Paraliobacillus sp. PM-2 genome assembly, contig: CONTIG000001
AAGAAUAGAUGUUAGACUAAGACCGUCACGUCCUGUGACAACGUCUAACUGACCCACGUCUUGUGGG